UUAUGAUAUUUAUGUCAGAGUUUCUGUCUGACUAUUUUAAUCAUGUUAAAGUUAAUGGAAUUUGAUGUCGUUUAUCGGUGGAAUACUUAUAUCACACGUUGCGAAUGCUCUUGGCAGUUUGUGUGAAACAUAUCGAAAAAAUUGUUAUUGUGAAAGCAGAUUGCCACCUUGUAGAAAGAAUGAAAGGACAAUUUAGCGAUCUGUUAAUCUCAAAAUGGAACUCGAACUAACAAGAUUUAAAAUUUCUUAAAAGUAGUGUGGAAAAUUUCAUAUAAGAAACAGUUUUUCAACCAAGUUUUAAUUUUUCAAUAAUUUCUUUUGCGUUUUCAAAAUGAUGCCUCUUUUUGAAACAAAAACUCCAAGCUUAAGCGCUGUGUAUGUACCUUCGAGAUAA